ACGGAGGAAAAGAAACCAACAGGGAUUGCCCCAGUAACGGCGAGUGAAGCGGCAACAGCUCAAAUUUGAAAUCUGGCUUCGGCCCGAGUUGUAAUUUGUAGAGGAUGCUUUUGGUGAGGUGCCUUCUGAGUUCCCUGGAACGGGACGCCAGAGAGGGUGAGAGCCCCGUAUAGUUGGACACCGAGCCUCUGUAAAGCUCCUUCGACGAGUCGAGUAGUUUGGGAAUGCUGCUCAAAAUGGGAGGUAUAUCUCUUCUAAAGCUAAAUACUGGCCAGAGACCGAUAGCGCACAAGUAGAGUGAUCGAAAGAUGAAAAGCACUUUGAAAAGAGGGUUAAAUAGUACGUGAAAUUGUUGAAAGGGAAGCGCUUGUGACCAGACUUGUGCCGGGCUGAUCAUCCAGUGUUCUCACUGGUGCACUCUGCCCGGCUCAGGCCAGCGUCGGUUCUCGCGGGGGGAUAAAGGCGGCGGGAACGUGGCUCCUCCGGGAGUGUUAUAGCCCGCCGCGCAAUACCCUCGCGGGGACCGAGGUUCGCGCUCUGCAAGGACGCUGGCGUAAUGGUCAUCAGCGGCCCGUCUUGAA
rnacentral:rRNA from 1 species